AUGCAAGUCGAGCGCUGAUUGCAGGGUAGCAAUAUUCUGUAGUCGGAGCGGCGCAAGGGUGCGUAACACGUGGGUAAUCUGCCAUGAAGUUUGGGAUAACUUGCUGAAAGGCGAGCUAAUACCGGAUGUGAAAAUUGGGAGGCAUCUUCCGAUUUUCAAAGCUGGGGACCGUAAGGCCUGGCGCUUCAUGAUGAGCCCGCGGCCUAUCAGCUAGUUGGUAAGGUAACGGCUUACCAAGGCUAAGACGGGUAGCUGGUCUGAGAGGACGACCAGCCACACUGGAACUGAGACACGGUCCAGACACCUACGGGUGGCAGCAGUCGAGAAUUUUUCACAAUGGGCGCAAGCCUGAUGGAGCGACGCCGCGUGGGGGAUGAAUGGCUUCGGCCCGUAAACCCCUGUCAUUUGCGAUCAAACCUCGUUAUUUAAAAGAUGACGAGCUGAUAGUAGCGAAAGAGGAAGGGACGGCUAACUCUGUGCCAGCAGCCGCGGUAAUACAGAGGUCCCAAGCGUUGUUCGGAUUCACUGGGCGUAAAGGGUGCGUAGGUGGCGAGGUAAGUCGGAUGUGAAAGCUCGGAGCUCAACUCCGAAAUGGCAUUGGAAACUACCUUGCUCGAGGGUCGGAGGGGGAACUGGAAUACUUGGUGUAGCAGUGAA
rnacentral:rRNA from 1 species